ensembl:lncRNA
UGAGAAUGAGAAUUUAUUUUUCCACACCAAAUUGUUGUGGACCCUCAGGCGUCUCCCGGCGGCCCCCACUUUGAAAACCACUGAUCUAACUCAAAGUCAUGUUCAUGAAACAGUUUGAGAAGACUUUUGCUUUGACGUGCAAUAGUUGUAUGCAAUAUUUUUGCUAAACACUUUGCAUUAAAGCUGAAAGUAUCCAAGGAGCUAUUUAUAGGAUAAACAGAGUCUGUAUGAAUUAGAGGAUUUCUGUUAAGCACUUCAGAGGGACCGUAUAUUCAGUACUCCAACGACAUCUUUAAAGAGGAGCACCUCGGACUUCCUCCAUUUUGUGGAUGAAUCACAAAUGACUGUGUGUUG